rnacentral:pre_miRNA from 1 species
UUUUUAUUGGAUGAUGACUAUCACGUGUUAUAUUCUGAUUGGAUGUCAACUUCAUGGAAAAUGAAAUACAUUGUUGUUUCAUUGAUCAAUGACACGUGACAGUCAUCAUCCAAUAAGAACGGGACAUGUGACAGUCAUUGUAA